AUACUUGUUUUAGUAGCAUAUAUACUAAAAGUGGAAUGACAUAGAGAUUAGUAUUGCCCUUGGACAAGCAUUUCUCACAAAUUGAUGAGGUGUUCUACACCUUU
ensembl:snRNA U6 U6 spliceosomal RNA